rnacentral:tRNA from 1 species
GAUUCCAUGGCCCAAUGGAUAAGGUGCUGGUCUACGAAACCAGAUACUCGGGGUUUGAUCCGCAGUGGAGUUG